rnacentral:sRNA from 1 species
UUUUAGCCCCGAUAGUAGUGGAAAUCCUUUAUUGUUUUUUCUUUAAAAACAAUAAAGAUUGCAACGUAUAGCGGGAAUAGCU